GUUUAGUGGGGGUCUCCCUCUCCUCAUCUCUCUGCACUUGCAUUUCACAAGGAAGGGUUGAGUAAUGAUUCUCAACUUGGUAUUCCUCUAAGUAUUAUUGUGUAAGAGACGGGUCCAAGGAACGCGGCUCUGAUACCAACUGUAAUAGUCCUAGAAUUUUAAAUAGAAAUGUAUGUAUAAGAAAAAUUCUAAGUGCGGAAGCGGAAUAAAAAUUUUGAUUAAUAUCCCUUACACAAUAAUCCAAAUGUACUAAAUGUAUGAAAGAAUAAACUAAAUAAGGUAAAUACUAGAGAUGAAUGUUAUAAAUUAAACUAU
rnacentral:lncRNA from 1 species